GUCUACAGCCAUGCUAUCCUAAACAAGCCCUAUCCUGUCUGAUCUCAGGAGCUAAGCAGGGUUGAGCCUGGUUAGUACUUGGAUGGGAAACCACCUAAGAAGACCAAGUGCUGUAGGCA
rnacentral:rRNA from 1 species